CAGCCGUAAACUAAUGCGCGUUAGGUGUAUCGGUGACCACGAGUUACCGAGGUGCCGAAGGGUAACCGUGAAACGUGCCGCCUGGGAAGUACGGUCGCAAGGCUGAAACUUAAAGGAAUUGGCGGGGGGAGCACCACAACAGGUGGAGCCUGCGGUUUAAUUGGACUCAACGCCGGGAAGCUCACCGGAUAAGACAGCGGAAUGAUUGCCGGGCUGAAGACUCUGCAUGACUAGCUGAGAGGAGGUGCAUGGCGUAGACGUCU
rnacentral:rRNA from 1 species